GUGUGUGGGUGUGCGUGUGUAUAUAUGUGUGUGUGUGUGUGUGUGUUGUGUGUGUGAACGUGUGUUUGUGUGUGGAUUGUGUGUGCAUUCAAAAUUGUAACAGAAAUUCGAAAUGAUCAAAAUAAUUCCAAAUAAUUGUAAAAUUAAUAGAUUUGGAAUCCCCGUAAAUUUGUAAAAUGUUGUAACACAUUUUUCGUUGGGUUACAAACAGAAUAAUUAAAAUUGCAAUUAGUUAUUAUGUUUCAAUUUGAUUUAAGCCCAAAACAAAAGAAUAAUGAAUGACACAUUGAGUUGCUGCUUGUGCCUAGCAAUAAACUAUAAGUUCAACAGCCAAGCGAGUUAUCAGUGCAAUACUCACGAUUUUUUUUUUAAGUUUCCUUUUUCAAAGAACAUUUUGUCCCGAAGCACAACAAUAAUAACGAACAGAAUAGAUUAAGAUAGGCAUAUACAUAUAUAAUGCGUACAAUUUGUAAGUGAAGAAGACGUCCUAUUUCGCUAAGAGUCCAAGGUUGAUGGACUUGUUGUAUUCACAUCCCUUUCAUCCUGCUAAAGACAAUGAUAAAGAUUGCGUGUUCUCUUAUAAAACCUGAAUAUACUUAUUUAUUGUUU